rnacentral:ncRNA from 1 species
CAAAGGCUUGGUCCUGACUUUACUAUCAACUUUAGCCAAAUUUACACAUGCAAGUAUCCGCCCCCCUGUGAGAAUGCCCUACAGCUCCCUGCCCGGGAGCAAGGAGCUGGUAUCAGGCACACACCCGUAAGCCCAUGACACCUUGCUUAGCCACACCCUCAAGGGAACUCAGCAGUGAUAAACAUUAAGCCAUAAGUGAAAACUUGACUUAGUUAAAGCUAAGAGGGCCGGUAAAACUCGUGCCAGCCACCGCGGCUAUACGAGAGGCCCAAGUUGAUACCAUUCGGCGUAAAGAGUGGUUAUGGAAAAUAAAAACUAAAGCCGCACGCCUUCAAAGCUGUUAUACGCAUCCGAAGGUUAGAAGAUCAAUCACGAAGGUAGCUUUACAACCCCUGACCCCACGAAAGCUCUGGCACAAACUGGGAUUAGAUACCCCACUAUGCCUAGCCCUAAACCUUGGCAAUAUAUCACAUACCCUGCCCGCCUGGGAACUACGAGCACCAGCUUAAAACCCAAAGGACUUGGCGGUGCUUUAGACCCCCCUAGAGGAGCCUGUUCUAGAACCGAUAACCCCCGUUCAACCUCACCCUUCCUUGUUUAUCCCGCCUAUAUACCGCCGUCGUCAGCUUACCCUAUGAAGGUCUAAAAGUAAGCACAACUGGCACAACCCAAAACGUCAGGUCGAGGUGUAGCGCAUGGAAGGGGAAGAAAUGGGCUACAUUCCCUAUAAUAGGGUACACGAACGGCGCACUGAAAUACGCGCCUGAAGGAGGAUUUAGUAGUAAGCGGGAAAUAGCGUGUUCCGCUGAAAUCGGCCCUGAAGCGCGCACACACCGCCCGUCACUCUCCCCAAGCCUACCAAUUUAAAUAAUUAAAAACCCAAAAAUCGCGGAGGGGAGGCAAGUCGUAACAUGGUAAGGGUACCGGAAGGUGCACUUGGCAAUAU